rnacentral:lncRNA from 1 species
GGGGUUCGCCGGGUCCUGCCGGGUCGGUGCUCCCCUCAAAGGGGUGCCGGGGGAUUUCGGGGCAUGCGGUCUGGCACUUUGUUUCCUACCCCCAACCUCCUGAUGUACGCUCCCGGUCAUGCUGGGCGUGGGACCUUGUGCUGUUGCGUGGAGGCGCAUCCCGACCAGCCAGGGACGGUAGGACGCCGCGCACAGCCGCAUUAGAGGGUUGUGGGUUGCCGCAACUAGUGGUCUCUGCGGACUGCUGAGUUCGCGCACAUCCCGGGACUUCAUGUCAGUUGUCAGCACUUGUCAAGUCAACCAGUUACCAACUAGCACAGCGUUGAGCGCGCUAACCUACCACAACGCAAGGAGCCCUGUUUAGCGAAUAGAGGUUACAUGUGGGAUGACAGCCGCGGGCAAGCCAGGGCUUCAUAAACGCACGAGACACGUACGCACACUCGAGGAGAGAACCUCGAAUGACCCCCAUGCUCCUCGCCUCACUAAAGGAGGGGAGGAACCCCGAGCAAGGCUCACCGCAAACGCUAGCGCUGCUCACCUAAGCCGCGGGUCGGCGUCAGACUGACUGCCACUUUGCAAAGUGCAACUCCUACCCCAAAACACCAGCACCAACAGGGCAGGGCCCUCACACUGUUGGGUGCAGCCCGAAGCUGCAUCCUGUCGACGGCCUAGGGCCGGUCCGACCCACCAGACAGCACAAGCCACAGCGCCCGCACCCUAGCGCAGGCGGUGCAGGCACGCCCACCGCCCAACCAAGUCCACACAGCCGCGCAACACCCUAGCACAGCAGACAGCGCAAGCCAGCCUUCGCUUAGUCGGCCUGCGCCAGCCAGCCUUCGCUGGACUGCCUUCGCCAGACUGCAUUCGCCAAGCAGGUCUCUCCACUGGCCACACCACGAGGUGUGUAGAUGCGCCCACAGCUCCAGCCGCCGCCGCCCGGAAGACGCCGGUCCUGGCUCCCGCCGCAGCGUGCCCCGAAAGAGCCGCUCAGCGACACGCCACUGCGAGCCCGGCAGCAGCGAGCGCCCCGCCAGAAGCAUCGCGAAGCCAUGAGGACGAGGUCGAACGGCGAGCAGGCGCGCCACCCACGCUAGGUCGCGAAGGCUCCACGGUGUGAAGUCAUGAUGUUCGGCAAAGAUUGCCAGAGCGGGGUCCGCUCGGCAGGACGGCGACGAUGAUGUCGCCGACUGAGUGGCGCGCCGCAGCCAGAGCAGUACUGACGCACUACAGCUGACCUAAGCAACGCCAGGGACGCCAUGGAGGCGCCACAGGGGAUUGGCGCGGCCACGAAGGCCGGCCAGGAACUACUACCGACAAGGAGGGUUAGGGCGCCGAGGCGCCCUAACGCAACCAAGCGGAGUAGAACGAGUUCAAUAGCUGAUAGAGGUUACAUGUGGGACGACAGCCGUGGACUAGCCAGGGCCCCAAAAACGUACGAGACACGCACGCUCACCCGAGGAGAGAUCCCCGAAUGACCCCCAUGCUCCUCGCCUCCGGAGAGGGGAGGAACCCCAGGCCCGGCUCACCGCAAACGCUAGCGCUGCUCACCUAAGCCGUGGGUCGGCGUCAUAAGACUACCUCUUAUUGCGAGUCCCUAAGCUGACAAGCUAGGGUGAGGCCGGUGGCGAGUCCGCUGUUGGCCCUACCAAGAUAACCCCUCCAACAUCAUCUGACGCUAGGAAUGGGUGCUGGUUCGGGACAAGGUCCCAGCGGCGCGGAGGCCGACGCAGACUCACAAACGCAGCUAGCCGUGACCAGAAGUCCGCAAUCACCUCCACACCGAUCCUUCGCACAACAGCAACCUCCGCAGUCCGGUCUGCAGCAUCACGGCAAGCGUAAAGGCGCUGUCGGCCGUAUUCCAGGGCCGCCACAGCAGCCAAGCACACGAUGUCCCACACCGCCUGCGAUAGCCCUGGUGGCGCCUGUACUCAAUAGCGAAUAGAGGUUACAUGUGGGACGACAGCCGCGGGCAAGCCAGGGCUUCAUAAACGCACGAGACACGUACGCACACUCGAGGAGAGAACCUCGAAUGACCCCCAUGCUCCUCGCCUCACUAAAGGAGGGGAGGAACCCCGAGCAAGGCUCACCGCAAACGCUAGCGCUGCUCACCUAAGCCGCGGGUCGGCGUCAGACUGACUGCCACUUUGCAAAGUGCAACUCCUACCCCAAAACACCAGCACCAACAGGGCAGGGCCCUCACACUGUUGGGUGCAGCCCGAAGCUGCAUCCUGUCGACGGCCUAGGGCCGUGCAAGUUCGCUGAACCACGAGGAUCAGCCGGUCCGACCCACCAGACAGCACAAGCCACAGCGCCCGCACCCUAGCGCAGGUGGUGCAGGCACGCCCACCGCCCAACCAAGUCCACACAGCCUCGCAACACCCUAGCACAGCAGACAGCGCCAGCCAGCCUUCGCUUAGUCGGCCUGCGCCAGCCAGCCUUCGCUGGACUGCCUUCGCCAGACUGCAUUCGCCAAGCAGGUCUCUCCACUGGCCACACCACGAGGUGUGUAGAUGCGCCCACAGCUCCAGCCGCCGCCGCCCGGAAGACGCCGGUCCUGGCUCCCGCCGCAGCGUGCCCCUGUUCACGCGCAGCGAGCCCGGCGCCACGUCAGGCCGCGGCAGCAGCCCACAGCAAGAGUCGCCAGCAGCUCCAAUCGGCCCGCCGUUACCGAAAGAGCCGCUCAGCGACACGCCACUGCGAGCCCGGCAGCAGCGAGCGCCCCGCCAGAAGCAUCGCGAAGCCAUGAGGACGAGGUCGAACGGCGAGCAGGCGCGCCACCCAUGCUAGGUCGCGAAGGCUCCACGGUGUGAAGUCAUGAUGUUCGGCAAAGAUUGCCAGAGCGGGGCCCGCUCGGCAGGACGGCGACGAUGAUGUCGCCGACUGAGUGGCGCGCCGCAGCCAGAGCAGUACUGACGCACUACAGCUGACCUAAGCAACGCCAGGGACGCCAUGGAGGCGCCACAGGGGAUGGGCGCGGCCACGAAGGCCGGCCAGGAACUACUACCGACAAGGAGGGUCAGGGCGCCGAGGCGCCCUAACGCAACCAAGCGGAGUAGAACGAGUUAGCUGGUUCAAUAGCCCAGCUAUAUACAUAUGCCAUGGAAAGUGUGACGCACCCGGUGCGUUUGCGCUACAGCGCGAUUUAGCUCGAACCAACUAGCAUGAUCGAUUAUUCGCAGCUUCCUGUAUACGUGAUCUUCUGUCCAGGCCGCGAGAGCGAGUGCAGCGUAUGAACGAAGCCGGUAACUGCGCUUUCUUGGCUUCCUCGAGAAUGCGCGCAGCUAUAACUUACAGUGCGAUGUAUUAGCGACACAGUCUGGCCUGCCAGAGCGCGCACUUGCAAGAAUUUCAGAGCGGGCUCGUUCCGAUCGGCUGGGAUGAAAGCUUACACGAUAUGUGCGAGCAGCUGUAUCCGUUGAUAUAAUCGGUGAGCAAAGUCAUGCACAGUUGCGAUGUGCUGUGAACUUUUAGCACGCUCGGCGACCCAGCUCGGCGAACCUCCUCGCUGGCGGGGGG